UGGGGGGGGAGUGGCAGUGGAGCUCAGCCUUCAUCGAAUGUGCACUUGUAGGUGAGCAGGAAAUGCAGGGCUGGGGGGCCCUGCAGGUGCUGAUGCUGCUGGAGACGAUGGGGGAGGGGCCGACCAGCCUCCGGGGGGGCCUCUGUGCUUUCAGCAGACCCGCCACGGUCGGUGUGGGCCACGCUGCCUCUCCCGCACAUCAGGCAUUCCCACGGGCUCCACAGAGCCCCCCGGGGCGAAGCAUCCAAUGACAGCUGUGAGCCGUUCGCAGGCCCAGGACGUACACACCCCGAAACACAAGGGCGCUGCUUCCUGAAUUCAGCCGGGCCCGGGCUCGGGGGGGGCUCUCAUUGGAGAGUCACGUUUCAGCCCGUGGUUUUCCUGCCUGGGGACGCCCCACCUGGCGUGGUCUCCCAGCCACGACGGGCUCCCUGGAGCCCCAGGACCCUCGCUGUGGACAUUACGGGGCACAGUGCGGCCCUCCAGAGGACCGGCCCCUGGUAGAGGGAGCUUCCGGUGGCCUGGGGGAACAGGUCCUUCCGAAGGGUGGCCUGUCACUAGGAGGUCAGCCCGCCAGCUGCCCCUCUCCAGUCCAGUCUCUGAGAGAAGGCGUUGUUUAGAGGUCAGGCAUCUUUUGUGUGCCAGUGACAGACAUUUUCCUUGCUCAAAGAAAUAGGAUGAUUGAUGGGACUACAGAAUUGGAAAAUGUAAGGGGCUUCAGGCAUAGCUGGAUCCAGGAGAUGAGACAAGGUUAUUAGAGCCACCUUCCUCUCCCUUUCUCUCUCCUGGGCUUUCCCUGCGUAGCUUUAUUCUCAGGUAGACUGUCUCUCCAGGUCUAUCCAGACACAGAGCAACACUCAAAUUUCACUACACUCAUAAAUCUCCCACAGGACUGAUUGGCGGCUGGGAUCGUGUGCCCAUCCCUGGGCUGGGGCUCAGGGGCUGGGCAGUGGCGAUUGGGUGGCUCGGGUCAUGUGCCUGCUGCCACAUUUAUAGUCCCUCCAGCAUCACUGGACUGGGGGGAGUGUCAUUUUUAGAGAAAUUCAGGGAGUGAAGGGUGGGCGUGUCCACUCCGUGUGGCCUGUCCAGUGGUGGCCAGUGAGCGCUCCCAUGGAGAAGCGUCUAUGUGGGUAAAGGCCCUAGAAGAAACCUUGGGCUCCAUCCACCUGCCGGCCUCUCCAUUUGGAGCAAGAGGCUGUGGCCGCCAGGACCUGGGUCUCAGGAAGCCCCAGCAAACUUCAAAGGGGACAGGGUUUGAUCGCAGAAGGGGACUCGCUAAGAGUGGUGAUCAAAAGGAACGCGUAGGAUUCCAGGUAUGUGCAGACGCUGUGUCGGGGGCAGAAAUCAAGGUUCUUCCGCCACUGACUGCGAGGGUCACCCUCCGAAGAGACUUACAUGUCCUCGAAAGCACUUUUCUUUUUAUCAUGUUAGAAAUACAGCGGCAAAAACGGCUUCUGUCUCUCUGGUCUGGAGGUCGGAGGGAGGAGAAAGCGGAACGCUGUCAUGGAAACUGGCUGAGGUUUGGCGACACGAGAACAGGGUCGGAACAGCACCGAUCCAGGACCGCGGGGUGCUGCGUCCAGCCCAGCUAAGUCGACGUGCGUCUUUGGGCAAGCGGCCACCCCUCUCUGGGCCCCCGGUUGAGCUUUUAAAACAAUAACCGCCAUUAUCCCCUCUUAUCGCACAGUGAGUGACAUCCCUGCGGGUCCUUCCAGCCCAGGAUUUAAGGUUCUAAGCUGCGUGCCCGAGAGGCCCGGGGGAAACUUUAGCAUCAAACAGAAUACCCGUUUUAGAAUCGUUUCUAAAACCCAGACUUCCAAAGUCCAGAGUUCAGUCUGGGAGCGGAGAAAAGGAAGUGUUUCUUAUAAGUGGGUCCCAAGGAGCGUGUUUCCCAGAGAGGACGGUGAGGCCCAGACGCCUGUCUUGAGUGCCCACAGCCGGCGGGCAGCAGGACCGAAGCAUGCUCACUUCUGGGAGCUCCCACAACACACCUUGGAUUCCAAUGCCUCCCCAAAGUCAGACUUGGCCUUCUCAAGGUCAUGAGACGAGUGAACAGUGAGAUUCUGGCCCAAGAAUCUCCCAUCCAGUGUGUUAGAAAGCGUGCCCUCCUCCAAACACAGGGAUGAAGGUUCCCAAGGAAAUGCCCGAGGUGGGGACAUUCUGCAUCACACCACCCAGAUGGGGGACAAUGGUCCACCUGCCUGCUGCUGCAGAGUUCGCAGCGAAGAAGUCUGGCUGUAAGACUCUGAGUUCAGGAGAAUCGUUCUUAGAGUGAGAAGACAUGAGGUGGGAAGAAAAGACGAGAUUCGAUUUCCUUUGCCUUUGGGGGGUCAAGCACAGCAACCACCGUGAGACGCCUGGAUAAAGGUGCAGUAGAGAAAGGGCAUUUUGCUCUGAGAUCUGGAAGGACCCUUGGAAGGGACCUUGUCCUGCCUCCCUCCAGCAGCGGUGAGGGUGAAGCCUGUGCCUUGCCCGGUGAUGGACGAUCCCUCUGCCCGGGGCGGUUUCUGGAGACAAGCCCCUGGUUACACUCGGUAACAUCUGCUCCCGUCCGGCUGGUCUUAGCUCUGUCCUAAUUCUGCCUCCUGGGACCCAGACCCCAGUGAGCUAGGGGCCUCCUGCUGCCCCCCUGCCCCCCCCCCCCCGCAAAUGGCACGUCCCUGUCACGAUCCCUGCUGCCUGUGCGUGUGGCUUUAUUUGAUAUUUGCAGAAGUAACUGAGGAUCUCAGGGUGUGAUCAUCCUGGGGUGGGGGUGGGGGCUCUAAAUCCAAUGACAGGUGUCCUUAUAAGAGAAGCAGAGGGAGAUCUGAGACGCAGGCCCAUGAUGGAGGCAGAGGCCGGAGAGGGGCUGUCACAAGCCAGGGGAACAGGGGCCAGCAGAAGCCAGAGCAGCAGGAAGGAUCCUCCCCCGGACCCCUGCUGGCACGUUGGUUCUGACUUCUGGCCUCCACAUCUAUCGUUUCAUGCGAGUUGCCGGUCAUGUGUCACAGCAGCCCCAGGACGCGCAUAGAGGCCAUGUGGCUUUUCCGCUCUUGGGUCUCCAGGGGCUCAUAGCUACAGUGGAGACGGCCAUGUCAUAGGGCUUUGAGGGCUCCAGACAGGCAUUUCCAAUAAUAGAAACUUCCGGCAUCAUUGACGACAGAGGUGGGGUCAGACCUGGGCCUUAGGGUUGACAGGGCCGCACUCUUCCAGCCAGACGCCCCCCGAUCCUGCAGCUGGGACUGCGGGUGGGCCCCUGGGCCCCUUGGCAGGGGUCCCCCUGGGAUUUGAGCCGCGGGCGGCAGAUUCCCUCCGACCUGGAGCCGGUCGCCGAGCCCCAGACGCAGACUGCACUCCACCUGGGCCCGGAGCUCUGGCACGGUGGGCUCUAAUGGGGUCUCCGGGUACGAGGGCACUUGGUUGGACAGAGACCGCCCUCUGCGCGUGCGUCAUCAGACGCGGUGAGGUUCAGGAGCAGAAGCCCAAAUGCCUGGCGCUGCACGGGCCGGCCACCGCUCCGGCCCUGGGCCCAGCCGCGUCCUCAGCCCCACGGUUAGGGCCAAGGGUCCGCUGGGUUCAGGGACUAGCAGAGGCCCCGGAGCACGCCCCAAAGGCCCACGCGUGGGACAAGGUGACCCGGGUCCCUGCCAGAAGACGUGUGCAGUUCGUGGCCAGAGGCUCGGUCCCAGGAGCAGCGGUGACAAUGCCCUUCGCGCCCUUUGGGUCCUCGGGCUCCCCCAGGGUAUGGAGGGGGACUCCUCACAGUCUGGUGCCUCUGGUGCCCUCUGUCCACUCCCGGUUCAGCCAGCGCCUCCUGGGGGCCUUCCUGGUGCUCAGAACACUCUGCGGGCACCACACACAAAGCCACCUCCUACCCACGAGGACAGGCCUGUGACAGGGAGGUCCCCGCGGCUCGGAGGCCAGAAGCCUCUGCCCAAGGCACGUUCCCAGGAGGGCCCCAGAGCUGACGGAGUCCAGGGCUCAGCCCCAGGCACACCGGCCAUCCACAGCCUGAGCUGCCCCGGCUCUCCUGAGCCCCGUCGGCCGGCGGGAGCGCCUCCGCCACCAGAGAGCGGCCGCCCAAGUCCCGCCGGCAGGAAACCUCCCCAUCCCCCCGCUGCCACCCCAUCGCGGUGGGGGACCACUCAGCCCUGUGGGCUCCCCUUGCCCCUCUCAGUGGUGUCCGUCCAGAGCAGCGAGGUCUGAAUGUCACUCAUUUCUGCAGGUCCCACCCUGGGAGCUCGGGGCCGUCACAGGCAUGCUCCGUGCAGGGGUGCGGGGAUUCCACGCGCGGGUGCGGGGCUCUAUGCUCCCCUGUGGGCUCCGUGUGCGGGUGCGGGGUUCCGUGUGCGGAUGCGGGGUUCCGUGCGUGGGUGCGGGGUUCCGUGCAGGGGUGCGGGGUUCCGUGCAGGGGUGCGAGGUUCCGUGGU